UACGUAGGGUGCAAGCGUUGUCCGGAAUUAUUGGGCGUAAAGAGCUCGUAGGCGGUCUGUCGCGUCGGCUGUGAAAUCCCGGGGCUCAACCCCGGGCGUGCAGUGGAUACGGGCUGGCUAGAGGCAGGCAGGGGAGAACGGAAUUCCCGGUGUAGCGGUGAAAUGCGCAGAUAUCGGGAGGAACACCGGUGGCGAAGGCGGUUCUCUGGGCCUGUACUGACGCUGAGGAGCGAAAGCGUGGGGAGCGAACAGG
rnacentral:rRNA from 1 species